UCUUUUGCAGCAACAUCUUCUCUCCACAAAUAAUAAAACAGAGUAAAGGCCUAAAAUAGCUUUAUAACAUAUGUCGUGCGGCGAUAAAACUACAGAACUGUCCCGCUAUUUUUCUCCCCGCGGUAAUUGUUUCAGAAACCCAAAGGCGCCGAUCCUCUCUCUGUGUCUUCCACCCAUUUUUCCUACAUCUAUUGUGAGCCUCCACCACCAAUAAAUCACCAGUCGUGCCUAGCCAUCCUGCCUUCACCAUCGAAACAGAGGAAAAUCCCCUUCGUCAGUCCAUCACAGCCUUCACGUCGAAAAUGGUAUGAGAAAACAACGACGUCGUGUGCCGCACGCCGUCGCCUCCUCACCUAGGCGGCUGCCCAAUCGUGUCCCACCGUCGCUCACGGCUUCUCCACUCGGUCCCUAUUUCAGCAAGCUAUCUCCUCUCCUUUCAAUCUGUGUGGGAAACAAACAAUGCGGAGGUGUCGUGGACCAGUUGGAUGCACUGAGUUUAUGAAGUUUCGUAAGCACGGCCUAAUUCCAUUGCAGAUUAAUGAUGGUGAGAGGGCACCAUCAUGUGAGAAUGCUGUGUUCUUUACAACAAGAGUAACAUGGAUUAUCAAACAUCAUGCAAGCAUGAUUCAGAAUAGUUGGGAUGUUGUAGAUGCACAAGAGAAAGAGGAAUUGAUCAAUCGUGUCAGGGCUGACUUCAUUUUAGAUUGGAGCAAAAGGAAUCAUCAUGAGAUGGUGGAGAGGAAUCUCGGGAAGAAGUUCAAUGACUUCCGCUACCAGCUUCAUAAAAUAUACAAGGGUUGUGACACACACCAGGAGGCAUUAAUGAAGUCAACCUCAUUGGUGGAACCAGAUGUUUGGAAAAAGUUAUGUGAAAGAUGGGGGAGUGAUGAAUUCAAGAAAAAAUCAAAGCAAAAUACAGCCAAUAGGAAAAAGCAGCGGGUGAAUCACACUACAGGCAAAAAAUCUUUUGUGAGGUUAAUACAAGAGAUGGGUCCAAGCGCAAACAACUUGGUUAAUUUCUAUAAAGAAACUCAUUGGUCAAAGAAAAAAGGGACAUUUGUCACUCCCAUGACAGAAACUUACUAUAAUACAAUGUGUGAGAAAUUAUAUGAGAUUCAGCCUGAGGAGUGCACAGAUGAGGCUGCAAAGACAAUAUUCAGAGAUGUGCUAGGCCACAGGUCUGGUUAUACAAGAGGACUUGGUGGUUCAGUUAUAACUGAGACUAGACCAUCAGCUAUGUUGGCACAACUUGAGCACCUAGGCCAAGAAAAUGAGAAGCAUAAAAAUGAGGCAUUGAUGUACAAGACAGAAUUGGAUGAGAUGAAAAGGGAUGUCAGACAAUUAUUGGUUUGGCAAAUGUCCUAUGACAAGAGGAUGGAUGACUCAACAUCUCAAAGAGUGUCUAAUAGAGACACUCAAGGAGAUGUUUAGCUGGAUGGGAUGAAAACUGGGAGUGAUUUUGAUAUUUUGUUAAGUAUUACUAACUUUUGGUGGCAGGAGCAUAUUUUGUUACAUAGUUGUGGUGGGGGAAAUGGUGCAGGUUUUCUGAAAUUGGUUUUAGUUGCUAGAAUGGCAUCCCAGCAGAGUGAUGGGCAUGUAAAUCAUGGAACUGGGGCUGUGGAACAGUUUGUUAAAGGUACAUAUGACAGGUUGAUAUGAGGGAAGCUUGUAAUUUUUUGAUGCACUAGUGAACCCGCCUACAGGAUGCUAUAUAUAGACUUCACUCCCAGGUUUAAAUGUAUAGCCAUGUUGAGGACUGAUCCCAUGAGUGGCACAUGAUAUAAUUUCUAGCACACCAGUAGUAGAUAGUAUUUAAGAAUAUAAGCUUGAUUUUGCAUGACAUUUCCUCUUUCUAUCAUGUAUAAUGUUUUGAACAUAAAUGAGAUGUUAAUUCAAGCUUGUAUGAAACCUCGAUGGCAAUAUUCUACAUAAAAACAGA